AAGUCGUAACAAGGUUUCCGUAGGUGAACCUGCGGAAGGAUCAUUAACACGUAUCCAAACGUUAAAACCCCCCCCGUGAACAUUCAAUCCUGCUCUUGUAACCCGCGGCGCUUGCAAUCUCUGGUAAAUCAAUGUGGGAGGAAAGCAGUUUGAUUCAGAGACCUCUGGCCCGUGAGAAAAUUGGAACAGUUACAAUUCGAGCGGUAGGUUUAUAGGCCUUGUUUCCCCAAGCAGUCAGUGUCUGAAAGCGUCAUUGAUUGUGCAAAGCUAGGCCAAAGGGUCACCAUGCCCCCUUACAACCCCACAGUUUAUUGCAAAGCUCAAUGUAAUACAUUGGGUAAAAAAACUUGAACAACUGUUAACAAUGGAUAUCUUGGUUCUC
rnacentral:misc_RNA from 1 species